rnacentral:lncRNA from 1 species
AAGCAGAAGUACAAAGACAGCACUUGGGGACCCUCAAAAUGACCAGGAAGCACUCACUAAAGAACAACACAGUAGAGGUCUCCUCCACUUCUCCAGCCUUUCAGCCACUCAAGUGCCACCCUCCAAAGAGGACAGUGCCGUGUUAAAUAACAGGAUAGUAAGAUAUUGGCAGACAAACCACCUAGGAUGUCAGAACAGCAUGGAAGAUUUCAGUCCAUGAGGUUACCCUGUAGUGAGACAGCACUUUGUUGCAAUGUACAUAGUCGGGAUCCAAUUCAAGGCUUCAUGGAAAGGAAGAGAGGAAGAGUCAAGGACUCUAUAAUAUGCUACAGUGAUGCAUCUGUUGUGACCCGAGACUUCAUGUUAAGUGGCCUCUUCAGAGUUUCUACUGCCUUCAAACACCUCCAUGAGCUAUAGGCCAAGUGCAUACAUAACAAUGGACUUCUAAGAAGAAUUUAAAAUAUAUCCAAACUAUAGCAGCAUGAGUUAUACCUCAAUAAAGUCACCUUUUAAGAUGUGAACAAAUGAGAGAAUCAUAUGAACAU